GCUAAACGCGAAGAACCUUACCAGGCCUUGACAUGCAGAGAACUUUCCAGAGAUGUGGCUGUGCCCGAAAGGGAACCGGAACACGGGUGCUGCAUGGCUGUCGUCAGCUCGUGUCGUGAGAUGUUGGGUUAAGUCCCGCAACGAGCGCAACCCUUGUCCUUAGUUGCCAGCACUUCGGGUGGGCACUCUAAGGAGACCGCCGGUGACAAACCGGAGGAAGGUGGGGAUGACGUCAAGUCAUCAUGGCCUUUAUGACCAGGGCUACACACGUGCUACAAUGGCCAGUACAAAGGGUCGCCAACCCGCGAGGGGGAGCCAAUCCCAUAAAGCUGGUCGUAGUCCGGAUCGGAGUCUGCAACUCGACUCCGUGAAGUUGGAAUCGCUAGUAAUCGCAGAUCAGCAUUGCUGCGGUGAAUACGUUCCCGGGUCUUGUACACACCG
rnacentral:rRNA from 1 species